CCCUUAGACGUUCUGGGCCGCACGCGCGCUACACUGACGGAGCCAGCGAGUAUAAACCUUGGCCGAGAGGUCUGGGAAAUCUUGUGAAACUCCGUCGUGCUGGGGAUAGAGCAUUGUAAUUAUUGCUCUUCAACGAGGAAUUCCUAGUAAGCGCAAGUCAUCAGCUUGCGUUGAUUACGUCCCUGCCCUUUGUACACACCGCCCGUCGCUACUACCGAUUGAAUGGCUUAGUGAGGCUUCCGGAUUGGUUUAGAGAAGGGGCAACUCCAUCUUGGAACCGAGAAGCUAGUCAAACUUGGUCAUUUAGAGGAAGUAAAAGUCGUAACA
rnacentral:rRNA from 1 species